rnacentral:rRNA from 1 species
CCUACGGGUGGCAGCAGUGGGGAAUAUUGCGCAAUGGGCGAAAGCCUGACGCAGCGACACCGCGUGAGGGAUGAAUGUUUUCGGAUCGUAAACCUCUGUCUGAAGGGAAGAAGUGGCAUGGGGCCAAUCACCUUUGCAUUGACGGUACCUUCAAAGGAAGCACCGGCUAACUCCGUGCCAGCAGCCGCGGUAAUACGGAGGGUGCGAGCGUUAAUCGGAAUUACUGGGCGGAAAGCGCACGUAGGCUGUAUGUCAAGUCAAGGGUGAAAUCCCACGGCUCAACCGUGGAACUGCCUUUGAAACUGGCAAACUGGAGUAUGUGAGAGGUAGGCGGAAUUCGUGGUGUAGGAGUGAAAUCCGUAGAUAUCAGGAGGAACACCAGUGGCGAAGGCGGCCGACUAGCACAAAACUGACGCUGAGGUGCGAAAGCGUGGGUAGCAAACAGGAUUAGAUACCCCUGUAGUC